CGUUUCCCUUUCCCAGGAUGGCAUGAACAAGAGCGGGCUGGAAGGGAUGUAGCCCUUCCCCCAAAUCAAGGAGUUUUUGUAUUCAUUAAGGAAAAAUUAUCGCAUUGUAAAAAAAUGUUAAAUGUGUUUAAGAUAUCGUUCCAUAUUCAAAUUAUUCGGAAAAUGAACGAACUCACGGAUUCGGGAGGAAUGUUUGCAUGAAACAAUAGCAGUAGGUAAUUUUGCCAUUUUACGACAAGGAUAUUUCGCCUUAAUAUAUGUUUCUAAUAGAUGUUCUUUUGAAUUUUUUUAAUAAAAAUAUGUAA
rnacentral:lncRNA from 1 species